rnacentral:snoRNA from 1 species
GUUAUGUGAUGAACACUAUUCAGUUCUGCUUCCGAAAGAGAGAGUAAUCUCCUUGUGGACAACCUGUAUACCAAAAACUCAAUUCUGACCU